UUUUUAAAAAUAAUUCUAAAAAUACGUGGCCUUCUAUUUGUUUGCAUCUAAAACUUAUUGUUUACUGUGCCACGUACUAACACGUGUUUUUCUCCGCAUUCAACACUCUUCUUUUCUUUUUUCUUGUAAUCUUUCUCUACUUUGAAGCUCAUCUUCUUCUCCGACAAUCGAAUGUCCUCUACUGCCAAUAAAUCGGUAGAAAUUCUUCAUACUAUCUUUCAAUUAAUUUAAAUGAUGUAAAUUUCGUUUUUUAGGGUACACUAACAUGUCGUUACCGGAGGAUCGGUUUCGGCUAGCUUUUGCAGACUGGUGUGUUUUUGUUCUAUAAGUGUAAUAAAACGGUGUUAUGUAUUAGAAAUAGAGAGCUUGUGAACUAAGAGGUUGAUUGUUUGAUUGGCAGUGAAAAUGGUCCGACUUUAAUAUUAUUGGCUGAGAAUGAUGGAAUGGUGGGGAAUGCAUCGGAGAAGAGAAGUCCAUUUGAGAAAUUUAAUAAUUCGGGGUUGAAGCAUUUGUUAGUUUUGGAUGAAGUUACAGGUUGUUCAAUUUCUAUUCAUACAUUUGUGAUAUGAAGGUGGUUAGUGCUUUUGGUAUGGCUCAUCAUGAUGAAGAUGAUAAGAAUAAGGUCGCCGGUCAUGAGCAUCACACUACUACUUACAAGGAAACUAAGUUUUAAUUAUGAAAUGGACCUAAACUUGUUUACUAUGUUUUAGUUCCUUGUUAAUGCAUGGUUUUCUUGUUUAUGAGACCUAUGGCCAUAUGUUGGCUUCUGUAAAAAUAAAGAGUCUCUAUGGAGAUUGUUAUGAAUUGCUGCCAUUAUGAUAAAUACUUUGUUAUUGGAUACGUUAUUGUGU